AUCGUGGGUUGGCAGGGUGUUUUUUUACAGUCAUCGUUUGCACCCAUCGGCCACCCGUGAAAAUAUCUCCUCUCCCUUGCCUUCUCUCACGUGCUCUCCCCUCCCCUGAUCCCCUCCUUCCCUACCGUCAAGCCGCCGGCUCCACGCAGCGGCCGACGCGGCCUUCUCUCCCCGGCGCUUGAGGUACAGCAGCGGCUGCGGCACUUCUCGGCCCAGCCGGAUCCGGUGCAGGUCGCCGGCAUCACGCGCCGCGUGCCGUGAUUCUGGAUCGGGCGCAGAUCUUGCCACCUAUCCUCCUCUCUCUCUCCCAUGUCGACAUUGUUGCAAGGAGCAGGGGAGAUAGGUGCCGAGGACAAGAAGCAACGGGUUGGUCAGGGUGGGCUUGAGCUGCCGGGGAGAUGGAGGAGGCCGUCGUGGUUCGUCAUGGAGGCGGCGCCGCCGGCAAGCUAGUUGAGAAAACCAAAUCUGCACCAUGCCGCCUCACCCUCUCAGAUUACUGUUUCAUCCCUUUGAUAGUUUUUUAGCACAGAGGAAUGAGGAAUGGAUACAUGAGGCAUGGCGUAAGCGUAGGGGUCAGCCAGGGCACGACGCAAGAGUCUGCCCAUCUCCUCUCAAAGUUAGUUCUUGCUCUGUCCCCACUACCUCGCCUGCCAACUCUCUGAUAGAGUAUUUUAUUUCUGCAAUGUAUUAUAUUCUUUGAAGCAAUUGCAAAUUUUUCAUAGCUUCUUGGCAUACUAUGGAUUUAAUUCUUUGCGAGAACAAGCAAAAGAUAGUAGCAGUUUCUUUCAGAUACAAUUUCGGAAAGGUUUGCCGACUAAAUGUACAAAUAUGAGCAAAAGGGGCCAUGCUAAUUAAUGUUGGCCAGGCUCAGGAGUAAAGUUAUACAGAUUUUGAUUUGCAAGUUAUUUUGUCCAGCACGAAAGGCACUAAUGCGUCCCGAAAACCUAGCGCACAAAGGACCAAUCCUUCCCUUCCUCGAGCCCCAUUCGAGUCCGCGCUGUUCAGCAUCUCCAGCCUCCCCUGCUCCUCGACCCUCCGGCCCCACGGCCUCUCGCGCUGCCGCCUUCUUCCCUGGACGUCUUCCCCGACGCUCGUGGUGCAGCAGCGGCCAUUGCAGUAGCCGCUGGAACUGAUGGAUAUUGACAUGGGUAACAAAAUAGUUGAAAGAUUUUGUACCGACGAGGCUCUUGAGACUACAAACAUUUCUUCACUCCUUGUACGAAAGGAUUCUAGGACUAAGUUAUAGGAUUUUAUAUUUUAGUCGGAUAUUCCUUCUGUUAAUAUGUGCUCCUGUGCAAUUUUUCAUAGGCUUCUCUUUCCUUUUUCUGGUUACGAUUUACAAAGCUGAGCAAUAGUUUCUCUACUAAUAUAGCUUGUGUGAAAAACAUCCGUCUUUAGGAUGCUUUUGCGGCAUGUGUAACUGCCUCACAUUAGCCUAUGCUUCUAUCCGAGUUGUUUACUACUAAGACCAUAAUGGAUCAUGCUUUUUAACUGGCAUAUAAGUGUUGAUGGAAAAUGAUGUCUUAUUUUUUGCCUGGUAAAUUUUAAUCGGCGCAUGCAAUCCAUGCUUCCCAGUCUUUGGUGACAAUGUUGUCAGGCCUAAAAAUAGAAGUUUUCGAUUUCCUCUCUCUGGUUUUUAGUUGGUUAGAUGUUAAUGCGUGGAAAUGUAUAUGCUGAUUUUUUUUCCUGUUUUAAUAAAUUGCUAAUACGUGGAUCUUGUCUGCUUUGCAUGGACUAUAGUAUAUAUUCACAGACUUUGUCUGCUUGCUUCAAAACUAAAAUGUGACUUUUACUUGCCUAUUACCAAAGAAGAUUUCAUGCAUGCCACAUCAAGUCGCCACAGAUGCCUCCAAGUGAAAUUUCAGCGACGACAAGGUAUAUUUUCCCCAACACCUGAUCUUCUUUAAUCAGACCACCGUUCAUUAUUGCGUAUAGGCUUCUUACUCUGUGCCUGAAUAAGCGAUUGGUAUCCACAUGUUUGUUUCCAUGUGUUCUACUGUCUUUCUAGUACUUGAAGCAUAGUAUGUUCAUGUGUGCGACUACAGUUCCAGCGAGUUGGAAGUCCUGUUGUUCUCAAAGUUUGCAUCAUAUGCCCUUUAGAGAAAUCUUUAUUGAACAUUUUAAUUUUCCUCAUACAUGCUUAUCAUUUGGCAUCAUGUUAUUUUGUGACACAGUAACUGAAUAUGCACACAAGAGGAUCCCUCUGGAUGUGUAGGAGGUAUGAAGUAAUAGCCAUUUUUUUUCUCUGUGUAGAUUUGGCAUCAUAUUGCCCAGUAACUGAAUAUGCACGCAGGAGGAUCACUCUGGAUGAUGGAAAAUGCAUUAUCCGUGGUAAGAAGCUAACGGUGUCGCCCCAUUUAUACCACAUUUAGGCAUGAUAAUUAAAUUAGCCUUCAAAUUAAAUAGAUGUCCGCAUUCAUGGGUACAUAGAUGAGCUGAGCUACUAUUUUCUUGUUUGGGAAUGAGGUAACACUAUACAAACAGCAUGUUGACACUCUGAACAGCUUAAUACUAGACGGAAACAAAAUUUCUCUUCCUACUAUGUCUGUACCAUGAACAAGAUGUUCGCAACAAGUGGUCAACAAAUGGUAUUCUGUUCCUGUCCUUUCUCCUUUUUAUGAAUCUUCAUAGUUGCAUCUUAACCAUGCUUAAUAUCUAUUGCAGUACUUUUCCACUCACUUCACACAAGAAUAUCUCAAGGGGCACAUGCAUGAAGAGCAUACUAAUUUGCUGAUCAAAGCUGGAAACAGACCUGCCAUCGUCAUUGCUCGGCUUAUCAUACAAUCACAAGAAGCUGGACUCAGUUCUUUGACAUCGCAAAUAUGAAAGGAGGAGUGUCAUAUGCAUUUGUCUUUGAGGAAUUGGCGGGAGAACUCAUAUCAUCGUGCACUCCCUUUGAUAGCGUCAUGAGCAACCACUGCCAUCAUCUCAUAAUAUAGCUCAGGUUCAAGACCUAGGUCAUGCACUACUUUUCUCGACCAUAUAAUGUGCUCUGCGUCACCUUAUCCUUUCAGUUCCAGUACUUCAUAAUAUAGAGUAGAUGAAACAUCUUUUUAAAUUGGUGUGGAAAUACCAAUGCAGAUGGAGCUAUGUAAUCCAGCUUGCUUUCUAUCAUGAGUUGGUCUCAUGACUUUGUUUUUAGCCAUCUUGGUACCAUGCAAUGGAAUAUAUAACACUAUGUUUGAACAUCGUAUCUAAAUAUUAUCUAAACACUCUUGCUUGGUUCCC